UGGAAGCGACUAAGAAAAUCUCAGAAUAUGUUUCUCAACUUAGGAGACUUGGCAAAGGACAUGGUAACCAUCUGUUUUAUAGAGCAACAGAUGUGAAAACAAAGGAGAUCAAAGACAUGUACUUGGCUGCCUAUCUCUCAGUCCUUUUGUGGAAGCGACUAAGAAAAUCUCAGAAGAUGUUUCUCAACUUAGGCGACUUGGCAAAGGACAUGGUAACGACCAAGUAUGUUUACAAGAUUGAUGAGACCAAAGAGUUGAGUGGAGGAUGUGUUCAAAUGGAGGCAAAAGCCUUCGAGACAUCUCCCCUUAGUAUCUAAUUAUAACAAUGAGAGAUGUGUAUAUAUAUGGUUUUCAAGAAAAUUUGAAGUUGUGAUAUUCUAGCUAAUUAACAUGAUGAAUAAAACUUUAGUGAUUAUUCUCAUCAAAUAAUUUAAAUUUGGAAGUACCAAGUUGUUACUCAA